UACGUAGGGUGCAAGCGUUGUCCGGAGUUAUUGGGCGUAAAGAGCUCGUAGGCGGUCUGUCGCGUCGGCUGUGAAAACCCGGGGCUCAACCCCGGGCCUGCAGUCGAUACGGGCAGACUAGAGUGCGGUAGGGGAGACUGGAAUUCCUGGUGUAGCGGUGAAAUGCGCAGAUAUCAGGAGGAACACCGGUGGCGAAGGCGGGUCUCUGGGCCGAUACUGACGCUGAGGAGCGAAAGCGUGGGGAGCGAACAGG
rnacentral:rRNA from 1 species